UACAGAAUUGACAAGUUGGAGAAUCUAAAACACCGAUCCUAAAUAAAUGAGCACCACUACGAGAAUUUUCCAGACGUAACCGACAAAUUGUGGUGUAAAAUUUUCUGUGGACAUUUAAGGAUAGAAGAAUGGAUGAUAAUUGUUCUAAAUCAACAUUAUUAAAUGCUCCUACAACAUCCAAAAAAACACCAGCCAAUAUCUUAUUGUCAAUCUGGGCACUAUGGAUGUCAAGACAUAAAUGCCGUAUACUCUCACAAGCAGAACGACCACAUCGAAAUCCAAAUUGAUUAUUAGAGAUUCCAAUGCAUCGUUUCCCAGAUGCUGUCAAAUUUCCUGAGCAGUUUAAAACUUGGGUCAGUCUUGUUGGUGGAAACCAUUUAACAUCUGAUUUUGUAUGUUAUAAGAAGAAGAGAAUUUGUGAUAUACACUUUUCUGACAGACACAGAAAUCGUAAUCUAAUAUCGGCUAAGCACAUUGGCAGUUCCGAUGCUUCAUCUGCCUGGACAACUACAGAGUCAAGUAAUCUUAGGACAAGCUUCAUCCACACAACAUUUACUGCCUACAAUAAUACAGCAAGACUGUUCAGAGCCAUAUGUGAGCAACUUUGUUUUAGAAAAGGCACCAACUUCAACAACAUUCCAACCUGUGGCUGCAGAUGCAUCUCAACAAUUUACUUCAGCAAGGUGCUUGAUGCUGGAACAUAAUUAUAGUUUUAUUAGCAAGCCUAAAGGAACAGCUGGAAAAGAUCUAAUGGCUUCACAGUGCACAAAGAUCAAGCAUCUUCAAGCAGAAAUAUCGUGCUUGCGAAAAAAAGGACAAUCUUUCAAAGCAAGGUUAAAAGGUGGUGCAGAUCGAUCAAUCAAAUUUUGUCCGGAAAAUUAACAUAUGUGGGUGAAGACGAAACAAAAAUAGCUGACCAAUAAUAUUAUGA